AGAGUUUGAUCCUGGCUCAGGACGAACGCUGGCGGCGUGCCUAAUACAUGCAAGUCGAGCGAGCUUGCCUAGAUGAUUUUAGUGCUUGCACUAAAUGAAACUAGAUACAAGCGAGCGGCGGACGGGUGAGUAACACGUGGGUAACCUGCCCAAGAGACUGGGAUAACACCUGGAAACAGAUGCUAAUACCGGAUAACAACACUAGACGCAUGUCUAGAGUUUGAAAGAUGGUUCUGCUAUCACUCUUGGAUGGACCUGCGGUGCAUUAGCUAGUUGGUAAGGUAACGGCUUACCAAGGCAAUGAUGCAUAGCCGAGUUGAGAGACUGAUCGGCCACAUUGGGACUGAGACACGGCCCAAACUCCUACGGGAGGCAGCAGUAGGGAAUCUUCCACAAUGGACGAAAGUCUGAUGGAGCAACGCCGCGUGAGUGAAGAAGGGUUUCGGCUCGUAAAGCUCUGUUGGUAGUGAAGAAAGAUAGAGGUAGUAACUGGCCUUUAUUUGACGGUAAUUACUUAGAAAGUCACGGCUAACUACGUGCCAGCAGCCGCGGUAAUACGUAGGUGGCAAGCGUUGUCCGGAUUUAUUGGGCGUAAAGCGAGUGCAGGCGGUUCAAUAAGUCUGAUGUGAAAGCCUUCGGCUCAACCGGAGAAUUGCAUCAGAAACUGUUGAACUUGAGUGCAGAAGAGGAGAGUGGAACUCCAUGUGUAGCGGUGGAAUGCGUAGAUAUAUGGAAGAACACCAGUGGCGAAGGCGGCUCUCUGGUCUGCAACUGACGCUGAGGCUCGAAAGCAUGGGUAGCGAACAAAAUUAGAUACCCUGGUAGUCCAUGCCGUAAACGAUCAGUGCUAAGUGUUGGGAGGGUUCCGCCU
rnacentral:rRNA from 1 species